rnacentral:rRNA from 1 species
CCAGACUCCUACGGGAGGCAGCAGUGGGGAAUAUUGCACAAUGGGGGGAACCCUGAUGCAGCGACGCCGCGUGGGCGAGGAAGUAUUUCGGUAUGUAAAGCCCUAUCGGCAGGGAAGAAGAAAUGACGGUACCUGAAUAAGAAGCACCGGCUAACUACGUGCCAGCAGCCGCGGUAAUACGUAGGGGGCAAGCGUUAUCCGGAUUUACUGGGUGUAAAGGGAGCGUAGACGGCAUGGCAAGUCUGAUGUGAAAACCCGGGGCUCAACCCCGGGACUGCAUUGGAAACUGUCAGGCUGGAGUGUCGGAGAGGCAAGUGGAAUUCCUAGUGUAGCGGUGAAAUGCGUAGAUAUUAGGAGGAACACCAGUGGCGAAGGCGGCUUGCUGGACGAUGACUGACGUUGAGGCUCGAAAGCGUGGGGAGCAAACAGGAUUAGAUACCCUGGUA